GAGAUCGUUAAGCGUUGGGUAAUGACUCGACUCGAGAAAAGUGGACGGUGAAAUUAUUCUCUAUCGUGCGAAUUUGUCGAUAGAUUUAAGAAUUGUUUGGAUUCUGAUUUGAUUCUGAGGAUGGUUUUCAAGAAGGAAGUAACAAAGAAAAAAUAUGUUUGCGAUAGAGUGGAGAAAAUAAGAUGAUAAAAGAUAGAGAUUUGAACGAUUACAGUAGGUGGAGACGUUUCGAGGAGAAUGGUUACAAAAGUUAGAAUCGGGAAGACGUAACAAUUGAAUUUCGAAUUAAAUCUCAGGAAAUUCUGAGGAAAGAAGAUGAUUUGAAAUUCGCACGAUAGAUAUAAAAUUUCUAAAUAAUUUCAAUAUUCUAUUUUACAAAAUAUAUGUAAUAUGAAAUAUAUGAAAUCGAAAAUGAAUAAAACUAUAAAUUUUAAGAAA